GAUGAACGCUGGCGGCGUGCCUAACACAUGCAAGUCGAGCGAUUCUCUUCGGAGAAGAGCGGCGGACGGGUGAGUAACGCGUGGGUAACCUGCCCUGUACACACGGAUAACAUACCGAAAGGUAUGCUAAUACGAGAUAAUAUGCUUUUAUCGCAUGGUAGAAGUAUCAAAGCUCCGGCGGUACAGGAUGGACCCGCGUCUGAUUAGCUAGUUGGUAAGGUAACGGCUUACCAAGGCGACGAUCAGUAGCCGACCUGAGAGGGUGAUCGGCCACAUUGGAACUGAGACACGGUCCAAACUCCUACGGGAGGCAGCAGUGGGGAAUAUUGCACAAUGGGCGAAAGCCUGAUGCAGCAACGCCGCGUGAGCGAUGAAGGCCUUCGGGUCGUAAAGCUCUGUCCUCAAGGAAGAUAAUGACGGUACUUGAGGAGGAAGCCCCGGCUAACUACGUGUCAGCCGCCGCCGUAAUAC
rnacentral:rRNA from 1 species